rnacentral:rRNA from 1 species
UACAGAGGUCUCAAGCGUUGCUCGGAUUCAUUGGGCGUAAAGGGUGCGUAGGCGGCGCGGUAAGUCGGGUGUGAAAUUUCGGAGCUUAACUCCGAAACUGCAUUCGAUACUGCCGUGCUUGAGGACUGGAGAGGAGACUGGAAUUUACGGUGUAGCGGUGAAAUGCGUAGAUAUCGUAAGGAAGACCAGUGGCGAAGGCGGGUCUCUGGACAGUUCCUGACGCUGAGGCACGAAGGUCAGGGGAGCAAACGGG